rnacentral:tRNA from 1 species
GCCGAGAUAGCUCAGUCGGUAGAGCAGAGGACUG